rnacentral:rRNA from 1 species
UUCGCAAUGCCCGAAAGGGUGACGAAGCGACGCCGCGUGUGGGAAGAAGGCCUUCGGGUUGUAAACCACUGUCGGGAGUUAAGAAAUGCAGGGGUGCUAAUAGUAUCCUUGCUUGACUAAGGCUCCGGAGGAAGCCGCGGCUAACUCUGUGCCAGCAGCCGCGGUAAUACAGAGGCGGCAAGCGUUGUUCGGAAUUAUUGGGCGUAAAGAGCACGUAGGCGGCUAUGUAAGUCGGUUGUGAAAGCCUUCCGCUCAACGGAAGAACAGCAUCCGAUACUACAUGGCUUGAGUGCGGGAGGGGAGAGUGGAACUUCUGGUGGAGCGGUGAAAUGCGUAGAUAUCAGAAGGAACGCCGGCGGCGAAAGCGGCUCUCUGGCCCAUAACUGACGCUGAGUGUGCGAAAGCUAGGGGAGCAAACGGGAUUAGAUACCCCGGUAGUCCUAGCCGUAAACGAUGGGCACUAAGUAGAGGGGUUUU